rnacentral:rRNA from 1 species
UACGUAGGGGGCAAGCGUUGUCCGGAUUUAUUGGGCGUAAAGAGCGUGUAGGCGGUCUGGUAGGUCCGUUGUGAAAACUCGAGGCUCAACCUCGAGACGCCGAUGGAAACCAUCAGGCUAGAGUCCGGAAGAGGAGAGUGGAAUUCCUGGUGUAGCGGUGAAAUGCGCAGAUAUCAGGAGGAACACCGGUGGCGAAGGCGGGUCUCUGGGCCGAUACUGACGCUGAGGAGCGAAAGCGUGGGGAGCGAACAGG